GCGAAUCGAAAACGGAUUUUUGAGAUGGAAAUAUACUUAUCGGACUGCCUUGCUUGAGUAUACUGGAAAAGGGUAACAGGAUUUUCCUGUAACGGAGGAAGGGUUGUUUUAAAGUCGGAAAUUUUGUAGUUAUCAAUCUACAUGCGCGUAUAGUACCCGACAAAAUCUGCACCACCGAAACCGUCCUGUUGCAACUUCUUGAACAGCUUCAAUGCAAUCGUCGCCCGUCGAACUGCCUCCUCAUAUUUUUCCUUGUGACUCAUGUAGCUCAUGUCAAUGUCCAAUUUCAGUUCCGGAUCGUUGAUGAUCAGUUUU